CAGUAGCCGCGGUAAUGCGUAGGUGGCAAGCGUUGUCCGGAAUUAUUGGGCGUAAAGGGCUCGCAGGCGGUUUCUUAAGUCUGAUGUGAAAGCCCCCGGCUCAACCGGGGAGGGUCAUUGGAAACUGGGAAACUUGAGUGCAGAAGAGGAGAGUGGAAUUCCACGUGUAGCGGUGAAAUGCGUAGAGAUGUGGAGGAACACCAGUGGCGAAGGCGACUCUCUGGUCUGUAACUGACGCUGAGGAGCGAAAGCGUGGGGAGCGAACAGGAUUAGAUACCCCUGUAGUCCCUGUCUCUUAUAC
rnacentral:rRNA from 1 species